ACGAACGUUGGCGGCGUGGAUUAGGCAUGCAAGUCGAACGAAUCCCUAGGGGCUUGCUCUUAGGGGGAAGUGGCGAAAGGGGCAGUAAGGCGUGGGUAACCUACCCCGGGGACGGGGAUAGCCUUCCUAACGGAAGGGUAAUACCUGGCGAUUUGACGAGGGGGCAUCCUCUUGUCAGGAAAUGAAUUUCGCCUCGGGAGGGGCUCACGUGGUAUUAGCUUGUUGGUGAGGUAAUGGCUCACCAAGGCCAAGAUGCCUGGCAGGUGUGAGAGCACGACCUGCGCCACUGGCACUGUGACACUGGCCAGACUCCUACGGGAGGCUGCAGUCGAGGAUCUUCGGCAAUGGGCGAAAGCCUGACCGAGCGACGCCGCGUGUGCGAUGAAGGCCUUCGGGUUGUAAAGCACUGUCGAGAGAGAGAAAGCCGCAAGGUUGAUCGAUCUCUGGAGGAAGCACGGGCUAAGUUCGU
rnacentral:rRNA from 1 species